rnacentral:rRNA from 1 species
AGUGAACGCUGGCGGUAGGCCUAACACAUGCAAGUCGAACGGCAGCACAGUAAGAGCUUGCUCUUACGGGUGGCGAGUGGCGGACGGGUGAGGAAUACAUCGGAAUCUACUUUUUCGUGGGGGAUAACGUAGGGAAACUUACGCUAAUACCGCAUACGACCUACGGGUGAAAGCAGGGGAUCUUCGGACCUUGCGCGAUUGAAUGAGCCGAUGUCGGAUUAGCUAGUUGGCGGGGUAAAGGCCCACCAAGGCGACGAUCCGUAGCUGGUCUGAGAGGAUGAUCAGCCACACUGGAACUGAGACACGGUCCAGAGUCCUACGAGAGGCAGCAGUGGGGAAUAUUGGACAAUGGGCGCAAGCCUGAUCCAGCCAUACCGCGUGGGUGAAGAAGGCCUUCGGGUUGUAAAGCCCUUUUGUUGGGAAAGAAAAGCAGCAGGUUAAUACCCCGCUGUUCUGACGGUACCCAAAGAAUAAGCACCGGCUAACUUCGUG